GGGAGUGAAAAAGAACCUGAAACCGUGUACGUACAAGCAGUGGGAGCACGCUUAGGCGUGUGACUGCGUACCUUUUGUAUAAUGGGUCAGCGACUUAUAUUCUGUAGCAAGGUUAACCGAAUAGGGGAGCCGAAGGGAAACCGAGUCUUAACUGGGCGUUAAGUUGCAGGGUAUAGACCCGAAACCCGGUGAUCUAGCCAUGGGCAGGUUGAAGGUUGGGUAACACUAACUGGAGGACCGAACCGACUAAUGUUGAAAAAUUAGCGGAUGACUUGUGGCUGGGGGUGAAAGGCCAAUCAAACCGGGAGAUAGCUGGUUCUCCCCGAAAGCUAUUUAGGUAGCGCCUCGUGAAUUCAUCUCCGGGGGUAGAGCACUGUUUCGGCAAGGGGGUCAUCCCGACUUACCAACCCGAUGCAAACUGCGAAUACCGGAGAAUGUUAUCACGGGAGACACACGGCGGGUGCUAACGUCCGUCGUGAAGAGGGAAACAACCCAGACCGCCAGCUAAGGUCCCAAAGUCAUGGUUAAGUGGGAAACGAUGUGGGAAGGCCCAGACAGCCAGGAUGUUGGCUUAGAAGCAGCCAUCAUUUAAAGAAAGCGUAAUAGCUCACUGGUCGAGUCGGCCUGCGCGGAAGAUGUAACGGGGCUAAACCAUG
rnacentral:rRNA from 1 species